rnacentral:ncRNA from 2 species
CGCACCGGUACAGUGACCGGGUCGUCGUCAGGACCGCGUGAGGGGAAGCCGGUGGGAAUCCGGCGCUGACCCGCAGCCGUGAGCCGCCCGCACCAUCGGGGCAGGCGCAGCCGGAAUGCCUCACCGGACUCAUGACCGGCUC